UACGUAGGGGGCAAGCGUUGUCCGGAAUCAUUGGGCGUAAAGCGCGUGUAGGCGGUCCGGUAAGUCGGCUGUGAAAGUCCAGGGCUCAACCCUGGGAUGCCGGUCGAUACUGCCGGACUAGAGUUCGGAAGAGGCGAGUGGAAUUCCCGGUGUAGCGGUGAAAUGCGCAGAUAUCGGGAGGAACACCAAUGGCGAAGGCAGCUCGCUGGGACGUUACUGACGCUGAGGAGCGAAAGUGUGGGGAGCGAACAGG
rnacentral:rRNA from 1 species